rnacentral:lncRNA from 10 species
CAUUUUCACGCUGCUGAUAAAGACAUAGCCGAGACUGGGAAGAAAAAGAGGUUAAUUGGACUUACAGUUCCACAUGGCUGGGGAGGCCUCAGGAUCAUGGCAGAAGGUGAAAGGCGCUGCUUACAUGUCGGCGGCAAGAGGAAAUGAGAAAGAAGCAAAAGUGGAAACCCCUGAUAAGCCCAUUAGAUCUCAUGAGACUUAUUCACUAUCACAAGAAUAGCACGGGAAAGACUGGCCCCCAUGAUUCAAUUACCUCCCCCUAGGUCCCUCCCACAACACGUGGGAAUUCUGGGAGACACAAUUCAAGUUGAGAUUUGGGUGGGGACACAGCCAAACCAUAUCAGUGGCCAAGAGCUCAGGAGGUUGGGUGUGGACUGAGUCCGAGGGUGACUUCCCACCCCACCAUCUGACCUCUCUGAACUUCAGUUUCUUCAUCUGCAAAAGAGAAACAAUAGCACUUAUUUGUCUGUAUUAGUCAAGGUUCUCCAGAGAAACAGAACUAAUAGGACAGAGAGAGAGAGAUUUAUUCUGAGGAGUUGUUCAUGCAAUUAUGGAGGCUAAGUCCCAAGAUGGGCAGUCAGCAAGCUAGAAACCCAGGAAAGCCGACAGCUCUGGUCUGAGUCAGAGCCUACGGAUCUCCAAACACUAAGUGCCAGUCUGAAAGCCAGCAGGCAAGAGGCCCAAGAAGAAUUGAUGUUUUCCUCUCAGUCCAAAGGCAGGAAAAGAACAGUGUCCCAGCUCCAGCAGUCAGGCAGGAAGAGCCCUUUCGUGCCAGAUUUUUUGUUCUAUCUGGGUCUUCAAAAGAGACCCACAUAGACUUCAACUGACUGGAUGCAGCCCACGCCCAUCAGAGAGGGCCACCUGCCUCGCUCGGCCCACCCAUUCAAAUGCAGACCUCACUUAGCAAUGCCCUCAGAGACACAUUACACAGUUGGUAACGCUCCACCAAAUAUGGCACCCUUGGCCCAGUCAAGGUGAUCCAUAAAAUUAACCAUCGUACCAUGUCAUUUCGUUGUUGUCAGGGGUCAAUGAAAUAAAGCAUUCGAGUGGUUAAAGAGGUACUCAAGAUGUGUACCUAUUACCACCGACAUCAUUAUAACAGCAGGACACGGGUACAUCAGAUUCCCAACAUUGCUAAAGCCACGGUGUGAUGAUUGGGAUGAGCUAAAGUAUUAUAAUUGUCUUCUCCAUGAGCUGUAAGAAGAACAAACAGUGGCCAGGCAUGGUGGCUUACACCUGUAAUCCCAGCACUUUGGGAGGCUGAGGGUGGGAAGAUCACUUGCACCCAGGAGUUUGAGAAUAGCCUGGGGAACAAAGGGAGGCCUCAUCCCUACAAAAAUCAAAAAGAGUAACUGGGCAUGGUGGUGCACACCUAUAAUCCCAGCUACUCGGGAGGCUGAGGUGGGAGGAUCACUUGAUCCCAGAGGUUGAGGCUGCAGUGAGCCAUGUUCACACCACUGCACUCCAGCCUGGGUGACAAAGCUUGAGGCCCUGUCUCAAAAAAAAAGGAAAAGAAAAGAGGCUGGGCGUAGUGGCUCAUGCCUGUAAUCCCAACAUUUGGGAGGCCAAGGCGGCAGGAUCAUUUGAGGUCAGGAGUUCAAGACCAGCCUGACCAACAUGGUGAAACCCUGUCUCUACUAAAAAUACAAAAAUUAGCCAGGCGUGGUGGCACUUGCCUAUAAUCCCAGCUACUCAGAAGGCUGAGGCAGGAGAAUCACUUGAACCUGGGAGGCAGAGGUUGCAGUGAGCCAAGAUGGUGCCAUUGCACUCCAGCCUGGGCAACAGAGCGAAACUCCAUCUCAAAAAAAAAAAGAACAACAAAGUGGUGAAAGGGCAUGGGUCCCUGGUCAGGUCAACACCAUCACCUCCCCCAGGAAGCCCUGCCCACCCAACCACACCCUUUGUCUGCCCACUGACUUCCCAGAGCUCUUGCCUGCCCAGUCCUGGGGCAGAGCGUCCCUGAGUCCUAGUUUAAUUGUCCACACAUCCGUACCCCGUCCACCUCUAAUCUAACCUGCUGCCAGACAGUGUCCAUAUGUCAAGCUGUGUGUGCCCUGGUGCCACCCAGCACACCCACGUCCCCACUCAUCCAUGCAAGCUCCUCCCAACUGUCAAGAUGAAAGUGUCACUUGUCAAAAGUGCACCAGGUGCCAGCCUCUGAGCAGGUGCUUCAUUGCCUCUGUUAUUUCAUUUAACUAUCAUGCAUCAUGACAAAUAAAUGAUUUGAAGAGUCUCUUAGGGAGGGUGCUAUUGAAGAAAACAUGCUCUGCUGCCCAGGUGACAGGAAGUGAGGGCCUGAGAGUAGGUUUAGAGGACCCGAGACAGACAAGCUGUCUCAAGAGAAAUGGACAGGAACUAGGGGUUGAGGGAGCAGAGACAGGACCAACCCUACAGCAAAGGAAGGCGGGAGGCGCAGGCCCGUCCUACCUUCCCAGGAUUUAGCUGAAUCCCAGGACUCUGGAGGAAGGGUGCAGGAGUCUUGAGGUGAUGCCUUCCCCAGAGUCUGGUCACCUGGGAAGGUGGAUGCCGGAAGAGCUUCAGGGUCGAGCCCAGGAUCUGCAUUUUAACACACUUCCCACAUCGUGUUUGGGAACCACCGCUCCACCUCUCAUGAGGAGGAAACAGGCCUGUGAAAGGAAAGAGACUUGGAAUGAAGGAACCCCAGAGCUGAAGGGCCUCCGAGCUCACCCAGCCCCAGCUCACUCUCAAACAAGACGUAUUUGUAGCAGCAGUUUCUGCUCAGUCCCUUCUGUGACAGCAAUGUCACUACCUCCCAGAAGUGCGUCUCAGAAACAACUCACUUCGCAGUAGCAGACGAACUCACUCCUGGGCUUUGCCAUUCUUUAAAGACUAACAGCCUUAGAAGAAAUCAUUGCAGAGCUGGCCACAGGCCACCUGGGAGCUAGGCAGAAUCUGUCUUUGGCCCCAGCCUCUCUGUGAUCUUUUCUGUUGCCAUGGAGGGAUUUCCCAGGACCCAUGAGUCAGAGCCCUGAGUUCAAAUGCCAGCUCUGCUGUGUGACCCUGGCAGGUUACUCACCUUCUCUGAGCCUCCCUUUUCCAACAGGUAUAAUGGAAAUAUGACCUACCUUAUGGGCUGGUGUGAUGGGGAAAUGGCUUAACAAACAAAUGAGAUGCCUGCAACCCCCAAAAGUCCCUUCCUGUCCCCUUUCACCAUAUCUCCUCCCCUUCCUCAGUCUCAGGGGCCUGUAGCACCCCUUCCCCCGGCCUUGAUUGCUCUCGGGGGACCACUGUGUGGGUUGCUUUCACCAUGUGGACAGUAAUCCUCUGAGUGGCUCCCUCCCCAGGCACUUCCGCAUUCCUGAUCUGCCUUUUCCCUGAGCUUCCGAAGACUUUCUCCCCGGGAAGAAGCACAGCUGAACUGAGAAUGAACAACCUCAAGGGGGGCUCCCCGCUGGAUUGCCCCUGCCUGACACCCCAUGCUGGCAACCAGAGGCUGAUUCUGCCCGACUGCCUCCAGCUCCUCGAGUGUUCAGCCUGGGUUCCAGAGGGAGGCCAUACAGCCCCGUCAGAGACCACCAGGGAAGUAUCACAGACCGCAGCCAGCGGGUGAGCUCAGCUGGGAGUUUGCACCAAGCCUGGCUCCGGAGUGUGGCCUGACUGACGCAGGCUGGGACCACCCUACAUGGGCCGGCAGGUGUGGAAAUGGCCAUAGCGAACUACCGUGCGUCCAACCUGAGACACCUGGGGAUGGUGGAGCCAGGGGAGA